UUUAAGUGUGUGUUCUGGUCGUGAAUCGCAGGAGAGCCAGGGGGUUCCAUGCCCAAACCCUAGCCAGCAAAAAUCAAGCAAUUGAGAAGCCAAAUCGACUCCAAAUUGAAAUCUAAGCUUGGAUUAGUGAUCACUUCAGUGAAAGGAUCAUAAGUUUGUCGCCUAACGAGCUAGGUGGAGGCUUGGGAAAGAAGCGGUCAAACGAAUCAAGCACGAGAAGAAAAGCAUAUUCGGAUGCGAGGAAAUAACAUAAGUAUGCGUUGCUUAAACUAGAAAGCUUUAAAGCAAAAGUUAUGUAAACGGGUCAAUACCUUGACCCGAGCCAGGUACACUUUGGGAUGCCGGAAGACGAUCAAGCUCAACGAAGAACCGAACACACUAUAGAUACACGCUUCCGCACUUUGCUAUGUUGUAAAUUUUAAACAACGAAUUCAACCACGUGAUGUAGAAUAACCUAUGAUUUGUAAAAGUUUUAGUAAACCCGUAUUUCCGAUGUAUAUGUAAUUGUAAUUACAUGAUUGUU
rnacentral:lncRNA from 1 species